GAUGAGUUUAUUUACAACCACUGGGUCGAUGCCAUUGCUGGUGGAGAUUUAUUUCCCCGAGGGUAUCACAAGCCCAGUAGUCAGCACUUUUUGUGCUGACAUGAAUUGUCAUUGAUAUGGUUAUAUUUAUAAAUUUACUGUUUACAAAUUUUUGAAUUUUUUGAAAUACUAAGGCUUUUCUACCUCAGGCAUGGAUUACCUUAGCUGCAUUUGGCAAAACUUUUAGGAAUUUUGGUCCUCAAUGCUCUUCAACUUCGUACUUUAUUUGGCCUUUUUAACUUUUUUGGAUUCGAGCGUCACUGAUGAGUCUUUUG
rnacentral:lncRNA from 1 species